UCCGGUUGAUCCUGCCGGACCCGACUGCUAUCAGAGUGGGACUAAGCCAUGCGAGUCAUUGUAGCAAUACAAGGCGGACGGCUCAGUAACACGUAGUCAACCUAACUCGUGGACGUGGAUAACCUCGGGAAACUGAGAAUAAACCACGAUAGAUCAUAGUGCCUGGAAUGGCUUAUGGUCCAAACAGUUUACUGCCAUGGGAUGGGACUGCGGCCUAUCAGCUUGUUGGUGAGGUAAUGGCCCACCAAGGCGAUUACAGGUACGGGCUCUGAGAGGGGAAGCCCGGAGAUGGGUACUGAGACACGGACCCAGGCCCUAUGGGGCGCAGCAGGCGAGAAACCUUAGCAAUGUGCGAAAGCACGACUGGGUCAGUCCGAGUGAUUCCUGAUAAAGGAGUCUUUUGCUUGUCCUAAAAGCACAGGUGAAUAAGGGGUGGGCAAGUCUGGUGUCAGCCGCCGCGGUAAUACCAGCACCUCGAGUGGUCAGGACGUUUAUUGGGCCUAAAGCAUCCGUAGCCGGCUUUGCAAGUCUUCGGUUAAAUCCACCUGCUCAACAGAUGGGCCGCUGGAGAUACUACAGAGCUAGGGAGUGGGAGAGGCAGACGGUAUUCAGUGGGUAGGGGUAAAAUCCUCUGAUCCAUUGAGGACCACCAGUGGCGAAGGCGGUCUGCCAGAACACGUUCGACGGUGAGGGAUGAAAGCUGGGGGAGCAAACCGGAUUAGAUACCCGGGUAGUCCCAGCUGUAAACGAUGCAAACUCGGUGAUGCAUUGGCUUAUGGCCAAUGCAGUGCCGCAGGGAAGCCGUUAAGUUUGCCGCCUGGGAAGUACGGACGCAAGUCUGAAACUUAAAGGAAUUGGCGGGGGAGCACCACAAGGGGUGAAGCCUGCGGUUCAAUUGGAGUCAACGCCAGGAAUCUUACCCGGGGAGACAGCAGAAUGAAGGUCAAGCUGAAGACUUUACCAGACAAGCUGAGAGGUGGUGCAUGGCC
rnacentral:rRNA from 1 species